GUGCCACAAGGAUGUACACCGGGGAACUUCCACUUGGGAACUUCCAGCUCUCAUCAUGAGGCUCUCACAAAGUUCCUCACACUUUACCUCUCGGUAAAGUCCAGCUAGUAUUUAAAGGACACCCGUAGAUUACUUCUUUCAACAGCUUUUGAAGCCAAUAAAAAAGAAUGUGUCAAAAUGUCUGACAGCACCAACCACCAAGAGACAGAUGAAACUGCUGAUACAAGCCAGGGUUAUACAUCACUAAGCAGGCAUGCUUUGAGAGCAUGUGCGUCUGGGGAGCUCAGCAUGCUGUAAUUCCAUAAACAUUUGUCUUCUCUGCAGAAUCAUGAGGCCAAAGGGAAUCAAUCAGAGUUUCACAGUUGCGCAGUUCCUGACCCAAGUGAAUUUGACCUGCGAGGCCUUAUGAUGGAUAGCCCAAAGUGAUGAAACCUUUUUGACUAGACCUCAGGGUUCCAGUGUAACAACAAUGACAAAAAAAGAUAGCUAUGAAACUAAAUAAAGACCUCAAAGAUAAAAUUUCUCUUUUAAGAUCAAUGAAAAGGUUUUAUUUGAAGAAGUUAUUGCCCGUUUCUGUGAAUAAUGAGGCUGCUGCCAGAAACCUAAGAGAUAUGUCCCCCCAGGCCAUGGUAUAAAACUAAAACCAAGUGAAAGGGACUAUAAUAUAUUAAUUAGUAAGUGGACUUCCAGCUUCUAAUUAACAGUCUCCACUGAAGUUUCAGUAAUUCCUAAGCAUUCCAUAAUAAAAUAGAACCCACUUCACGGAUCCAAGCAACAAUGGAUUAAUUCAGUGAACUUCUGAACUUAGUGUGAGGACUGAGUUCUAAUCUUAAAUAUAAGGUGGAUUAAG